CUCUCCGGGCUCAACUUUGGGAUAAUCACCCUCAUCCCAAAAGUUACCGGCGCUUUGGAUAUCCGCCAAUUUCACCCGAUCACGAUGAUCAAUGUCAUCUUCCGCAUCCUUGCGAAGGGGUACACCAAUAGGGUGGCCCCAAUAGCUGACCGGAUCACCCACCCUCAUCAGUCGGCCUUUAUCCAGGGACGAUAUAUCCUUGAAGGAGUCCUAGUGUUUCACGAAGCACUCCACGAGGUGCAUGCCAAACACCUCAAGGGCGGUUGUCGGUGUCAAAACCGGCGGAUCUCGGGUAGGGGGUCCUGA
rnacentral:rRNA from 1 species